rnacentral:lncRNA from 1 species
GGCAAAUAGAUUUAUUCAGAAGAGACUAUGCACGUGUUAAAAUCAAAGACCUCAUUAAAUUAUAUUUCAUAAAUCUUCUACUUAGACUUCCUUCUCCUCUGAAUAAAAUUCAAAGCUCAAACGGACUCUUGUUACUUGAAAACAAUACUGUAACUACUGUUAGUUGGAUCCUAGCGAAUAUGCUACCCUAAAAGCUUUCAAAAAAAGAGCUUUGGAUUUUAACAGAAGAGCGCCCCCUGCUGCUAAACAGUUUAUGGACCACGCACCUGAAAAGUAAAAUGCUUGGGGAGUCUGCCCAUCGCAAAGCUGGAAUGGUGAUAUUUUUCACUAACAUCUGUUUACCUGCUCAUCUUGAGGAGGAAAGAACUACAUUCAAGGUUAGCUACUGGUACCGCUCUGAGUCACUGGGAGAUUGUUCUGCCAUCUCCAUCUCUCUACCCAAACAAGAGUUGACGUUGGAUUUUCUCCAAACAACUGAGCAGCUGCCCCUUUCUCUUUGUGGAACAAGGAGCUCUGAAGACUUCCCAUAUCAUAUCCAGGCUCUCCUGGAUAUUUAUCCGUGUUAAGGAAGUGUAUAGAGGGGUCCUGAGGAGAAAAAAGAGAUCUGUUUCCCAUUUUCCAAGUAAUUGAUUCACAUGUGUAUUCUGCCAAUGAGCUCUAUUAAAUCUUUUUUUUUUUAAAGAUUGGCACCUGAGCUCACAUCUGUUGCCAAUCUUCUUUUUUUUCCUGUCCCCAAAGCCCCCCAGUACAUAGUUGUAUAUUCUAG